UCAGAAGAACUAGCAGAGUCACAAAGGACACGAGUCCUUCUCACCACCUUGACUUGCUGACUGAUGCUCGUCUGCACUGCACAGAGGAAAUCAACUGACCGAGGUAAAUCUCCAGUUUCUGAGUGAGGGAGAGAGGAGUCAUCAUCCAGGUAAAGUGACGUGGAUCAGUGGAUACACUUGUCUCCCCUUUAGAGGAGAUACUCUUAGAGAGAGACGAUCUGAGUCAUCCUUAAAUAUGGGCAGGAUAUCACUAUUAGACUGUCUAACCUGCCGGAGCAGCACUGAAUGAUCACCACACAUGAGCAUGUUCCUGCAACAUUCAGCAGCUUUGCUUUUGUGUCAAAUGUCAACCAGCUGGAGAGGAAACUACACCAGUGUACUGGGAUGUUUCACCA